AAAGAGAUGUAGAGGAGAAGAAGAAGGAGGAGCAGAGAGGUUCGGCCAAAAUGAAAAAACGAGAUGCAGAGAGGAAGAAAGAGAUGGAGAGAGAAGAAAAAGUCAAAAAAAUAUAAAAAAAUCUUACUUUAAAAAAUAUAUAUAUAUAUAUAUAUAUAUUCCUAGUCCAAUCAAACAUACACCAAACGCGGUACAAGUGUUAUCCAGCUUAUGCCAGGCCAAGCCAAUCCAAGACAGUAUCAAUACUUAAUCCAAUCCAUGACAGUCCCCCGUACCAAACGACCCCUAAGGGUCCAAGAGAUUUGUGGUCACUUACCGUUAUAUGUAAAUUCAACUGUUCACUCACUCUUGCACUCUUUUUAAGAAACUUUUUUGAACUAUUGGAUUAACAUCCAACGGUGGGUGACCACAAUAUCUUGAACUCCU
rnacentral:lncRNA from 1 species